rnacentral:lncRNA from 1 species
UAGGGCCUCCCGUCCGCGCAGCGCCGCGGCGGAUGGCGAGAUGUGAGGCGGCGGUGUGACCCCGGGGCGGGAAGGCCGGGUCAUGCUCCCGUCGUUUUUGCCUCGAAUAAACUCGACAAACUAAGUGGCAGGAGAGCGCCAGUUCAGUAGCAGUUUAUAUCCUCCUGUGAAUGCAACUGCUUCUUCUGAAUACCUCAAAUUUCGCGUGAACACCUCUAUCAGUGUGGUCUUGUGAGUAAAGAAAGUAAAGAAAAUCGAGACAUAUUCAGAAUUUAACAAGAGCAGCGUUAGCCUGGAAGAACUGCUUAGAAUUGCAGGAGCCCUAUCCACCAAGGGACAGCACAGCUAUAUAGGCAGAAGGUGGAGGUUGAGAUACAGUUUUUAAAAACAUGGAAAGAAAAGACUGAACUUCUUGUUAUUUCAGUUUGGCACAGUAGAUGGAGCUACAAACUGGCAAUCGAUCUUCAGCUAAAACUAGUUAGAAUUGAGGGCCCUUAAGGACAAAUUCUUACUCUUCCCAAAAUCUUGGAAAG